rnacentral:lncRNA from 1 species
AUUUGGUGGAGAACCUAAGGGCCAUAAUUCACUAAUACAGCUAAAUGACUGAAAUUAGGCAGUAUAAACUCGGAGUGAUGUUCAAGGUAUUCAAGUUUUGAACUCACUUAUGCAGAUUAAAACUGGAAGGGGAUUAUAGGAACCAAAAUGUAAUUUGAUAAGCCAUGAAGUCUGUAUUUAUGUAAAUCAUAUUGAACUUGAGAAGCCUCCUUGAGGUCUGCAGGUGUAAACUGCUGCCUAAGACCUGAAAUCUAGGAGUUUCUUUCAUGCUUGAAUGUUAUUAAUAGACUUGAAAUAUGUUAUCUUCUGUUUCAUGAUUACUUUUUUUUUUUUUCAGACUGUCCCUUCCUAAACUCUGUCAAGCAAACUUGUGCUUCAGCUCUUCUUAGGCACUUGGCUCAUAUAAACCUAGUAGCAGAUGGAGCAACAAUCUACAUGUUAUUGUACAUCAGACUUCACAAAAUUUGUGUCCAGUGUUGGUCAUAUGCCAGCCUUCGAUUAUGCAGGGAAGGCUUAAAGGUUCAUUAUUAUAAUACAGCAUGAGCAAAACAACACGGAUUAUGAAAAUGUCACCAAAUUAACUACUUGUUGCUGGAAGUCUGCAGAUGUCCAACCACGUUCACUUGGCACUAGAAAAGAAGAACAACCACAGUGAUGUGACCUGCAGACCUGGUUCUCAGUAAGUGGCCUCUAGAUGUGCACUUCAUCAUACAGGGUGAGUGUAGCAGACUAUAACAAUUCUUUGAAGGGUUUCCCAAGUCUAUAUAUAUAGGCAUGAUAAAUAUAGCAGCUCCUGAAAACUUUCCUGGGUAGCAGUAAGGAAAAAUGAAUUUACACUUAUACCACAUUCCCGGAAAAUCUUUUCCAUGCCUAAGCCUAAAAUGGCUGUACGUUAGAAAGCUGGAGAACAUAAAAAAAGAAAAUAAGAAGUGGAACUUGAAGACCUAGAAGUAAGUUGGGGCACUUGGGGAAGUAAAGAGAAACAGAUCUAGGGGAAAAGCCAAUUCCAUGCAAUUAAGUGGCAGCA